GGAUCCAGACUUUGAUUAUGGCUCAGGAUAAACGCUGGCGGCGCACAUAAGACAUGCAAGUCGAACGAACUUAACCAUUAGUUUACUAUUGGAGCGGUUAGUGGCGGACUGGUGAGUAACACGUAAGCAACCUGCCUAUCAGAGGGGAACAACAGUUAGAAAUGACUGCUAAUACCGCAUAUGCCUUGAGUAUCACAUGGUACAAAAGGGAAAGGAGCAAUCCGCUGAUAGAUGGGCUUGCGUCUGAUUAGGUAGUUGGUGAGGUAACGGCCCACCAAGUCGACGAUCAGUAGCCGGACUGAGAGGUUGAACGGCCACAUUGGGACUGAGAUACGGCCCAGACUCCUACGGGAGGCAGCAGUCGGGAAUAUUGCGCAAUGGAGGAAACUCUGACGCAGUGACGCCGCGUGCAGGAAGAAGGUUUUCGGAUUGUAAACUGCUUUAGACAGGGAAGAAACAAGACAGUACCUGUAGAAUAAGCUCCGGCUAACUACGUGCCAGCAGCCGCGGUAAUACGUAGGGAGCAAGCGUUAUCCGGAUUUAUUGGGUGUAAAGGGUGCGUAGACGGGAAAUUAAGUUAGUUGUGAAAUCCCUCGGCUUAACUGAGGAACUGCAACUAAAACUGAUUUUCUUGAGUGCUGGAGAGGAAAGUGGAAUUCCUAGUGUAGCGGUGAAAUGCGUAGAUAUUAGGAGGAACACCAGUGGCGAAGGCGACUUUCUGGACAGUAACUGACGUUGAGGCACGAAAGUGUGGGGAGCAAACAGGGUUAGAUACCCUGGUAGUCCACACCGUAGACGAUGGAUACUAGGUGCAGGGUGUGAUAAACAUUCUGUGCCGUCGCAAACGCAGUAAGUAUCCCACCUGGGGAGUACGGCCGCAAGGUUGCAACUCAAAGGAAUUGACGG
rnacentral:rRNA from 1 species